AGUUCCUGUUAUGGUCCUCCACC
rnacentral:miRNA from 1 species